rnacentral:tRNA from 1 species
UGGAACAUACGGUUAAUGGCAAACCGACAGGGUAGCGCCCUGGAUCUAGGUUCGAUUCCUGGUGUUCCGC